CAAAGCCUAAAUGAGAGCUUAAUUAUGAUGUCACAGCUAGAUUUAUUUUGCCACGGGCACAUUAAAUAGGUAAAAACCUCCCUUUUCAAAGCAAACUAAGGGAGAGAUAAAAAGUUUUACUAAUGACUUCAAAGUUUAUAGACAGGUUGGAUAAGAUGGCCAUCAUGUUCGCUCUUACUUAGAAGGGCAUAGCUCUCCUCAUGUGCAUUAUUUUAUCUCAUAGGAAAAAAAAACCACUGUCAGAACAUGCCUGUGACCACAGAUUUCUAGCUCAGGCCACCCAAGACUAGGACAGGACUGAGCACCCCCGUGGCUGACAUCCUAACAGCCUCCUCCAAGGUCUAUUUUCAUAGACACCAGGAGGAAUAGGAGUAAGCUGGGCAGCAGCAGCAAUAUAAGGAUAGCCGGCAGGCCAACUAACAGCAGCUUCACACAGUAUCUGCCAUCAAGGACACUCAGAAAGCCAGUCCACCACAAAUGGCAUGGGUUUUCAAUGUGGAAAGCUAGGCUUUGGACAAACAGCAGUCAUGACGGAAGCCAGCCUCUGAAGCGUGUUAUCAGCUCUGCCAAGAGCUAGGCCACUGGAAACAGAACUGCUGGGACACCAGUUCUUACAGCAAUGAAUGCCUGCUAUACCUCAAGCCAUCACGCAGGAGCAACACAAGACUGCUCUCCUUCAAUCAAUCUGAUCCAGAGUACAGAUCCCCGCCCUGCAUCUACACCCCAUAACAGCAGGAAGCAUCCAGAAAGAAACAUGCAUCCCAUCUCCUAUCUACACUCAAAAUCAGGAUUGAUGGAACAACAAUAUAAACUUCAGCCAUUCUAGCUCUUUGGCUGUGGAUUCCUGUUUCAUUUUUGUCUGGGUGAUUGCUUUUCAUGAAUUUUAUUAGAUGUAACAGAGAAACUGAAGAGUUACCGAGAUUAUGCUGUUGCUCUAUCUGGCUGAAUCAGUAUGCACUCUUCUGUAUAAUCACAAAGUAGGAAAUCCACUGUGAGAUGACACUACCUGCUCUAAGAAAAGAAACAACUGCCACCUGUUUUCUCAAGACAUUUGCUUCUCUUUCCUCUUCGUUAAUUCUGUCUGUUCACCAGAAGAAGGAAUUCUGGAAGCAGAAUAUAUUUAUAGAAAAAACAUAAGCCUAAAUUAUUUCUUUGCUUUAGUUCAGGCUUCCUUAUCUCAGUAUAAAUGUGGGACAACAACCUCUAAGAUAGACUUUUGGUUCUUCAUGCUACAACCAGAGCUCAACUGUCUUAGUCCUACCUUCUCAACAGAACAUCAGGAACUACAAUUAAAGGGACCAUGUUUUAUACUUUUCCUGUAUCCCCAAUAAAGGAAAAUAAAACAAUAAAUAAUAAAAGUAAAUCUUUAUUAAGUACUAACUCUAUACCAGGCACAGUUCUAAAUACUUUGUGUAUUAGUUCAUUUAAUUCUUACAAAAACUCAAUGAGAUAAGUAAUAUUAUGCUUCCCGUUUAAGAGCUAAGACUUAGAGCAGGCAUUUAGCCCAGCAAUAAAGACCACCCACAAUCCACAUCAGAGUUCCUGGGUUUGAUUGCUGGCUCUGACUCGUGAAUCCAGCUUCCCCUCAAUGCAGGCUCUGGAUGGCAGCAUGAUG